rnacentral:snRNA from 1 species
GAAGUGAGAAUGAUUUGGCUGCAACAUCCAUAAGCCAACUGAUGAUCAGGUUUGAUUCUGCUGAUUUGGUGGCUAGGUAGUGUCUCUUUUCUCCUGCACUGAUUCACGUGCAUUCCUUCCCAAGCUAAGUGUUCAGUGGAAGAAGAAAGCCAUCUCAGAUAGACUCAGGAGUGUAUCAAUUUUUGAUGCCAGGGUACUUGAGGCUGUGUUCCCUGGCUAAAUCCUCCAAACAAACUUAAAGUAUUUAAUCAUUACUUUUCCAUGCUGUUUUCAAUUCAAGGACAAGCAAAUCAAGCAAUUAAAAUUAGACUGACUUUUCUUU